GGCCACGUGUAUCCUGCACAAAAGAAAGUUGACAUCAGCUCCAAAUGUGACAUAUUCAUGGUUAUUGUUGUGAUGCAUUUCUCUUAAUGCAUAUAUACUUCUAAGAAGAGCUGGUAGCGAGUGAUGCCUUCAGUAGAAGCUGCCUGACAAUUUCUGUUUUCAGAAACCAUUUUUUUUUCCCCCAAGCUACGUGCUGGGUAUGUAUUUUUCUUUUUAAUUCUAUAUGAGUAAUGCUUGGUGUUGUAAUUAACCAUUUCUGGCAACAAAUAUGUGGAAAGAGAAAUAAUUUGUAACUCUAAGUGUGGAAUUUCUGAAUUUUCUUGUAAGAUUUUUCUUUGGUGUGGUUAAUGUAUUAUUAACACCAGCUGAUCUGCAACGCCUAAAUUCUGAAACUGAAACUUCAGGUUUAGUAGCAGCUAGAGAAGCAUAUGUGUUUGGUUGCAUAUCGGUGAUAUUUUUAUCACCUAUCUUUAGAUACCUUCCACAUAUUUAAUAAGGAGGGCAUUCUCUAUAUCGUCAAUGAACACGAUAGGCUCCCCCAGAGAGAGCAAUCCCAAGUAAGUGCAUUAGUGUUUACCAAUAUGCAGUCUACAUCUUCUCUGUUGCAAAUUAAGCCUUUCUUUUUGCUUGUUCUUUCCAAUGGCAAUGAAGAAUAAUUGAUUACUGUCCUUUCUGAAAGCUAUUGGAAGAUGGCUAUCGUGUCUUGUCUAGCCUUUUCUUUUUCUCCUCCAGACAAAGCAAAGCCAAUUCCUUUAUCUUUUGCUUGCAGAUGAUGUUUUCAGAACUUUUGUGCUUCUUGUUUCUCUGCCCUGGAAUCUAUUUAAUUUAUCUUGCUUAUACUGCAGUGACCAACACUGGACUCUGUGGUGUUGCAAAGACUUUCUGACUGCUAAGUGAAAUGCAAGAUUGCUUCACAGGUCUUGCAGGGAAUGUCCCGACUUAUGCAACCUGGAAUGAUGAGGGUGUUUUGUAUUAAAAAAAAGGAUGCUAUUGAUGCACACUGAGCUUAUGAUUCAUUUUGACAGCCAGAUCUCGUUCAAUAUUCCUGAAGUCUGGACUAAUUUCCCCAGCAGUAGUUGGUUUGUUAUCUUUUUCCUAAGCGGAUAUCUUUGCAUUUAUCCUCAGUGAAUUUCAUUUGUUCAUUUUAGACUUUCUCUUCAGGGGUCCAGAUCAUUGUUGAUGAUUCUGAUCCCGUCCCUCUGAGUGCUUGUAACCUCUCCCAGCUUGGGACUUUUGGAAAACCAUGCAAGCUCAUACUCUACCCAAAUUGUUAAGAGCAGUAUUGAGCAGACCCAGGAUAAGCAGAGCCCUGCAGGACUCUCAUUCAAAGGUCCCUCUAAUCCUGCAGGGAACCACUAAUAACUCUUCUUGGGGCAAGUUCUGCAAUUAACCUUGCCCAUAUCUUGUGGUGAUUUAAUUCUGAGCAUAUUACUCGAGCUGCCCAUAACAGUUCUGCAUGGGGCAAUGCCAAAGCUGGUGUUGUGAGAAUAUGUUAGUGUUUCAGGGAGUGCCUGGCUCAUUUGGAGAUACAGUACAGCCUAAAUUGCAAUAGUAGGAACAAAGGCAAAGGAGCUAGGUCUGCCCCUAAUUAAAUGUAGUCUCCGUAAGCACUGAGACCUAUUUCCAGAUGCUCUUGGACUACUGUAAUAUGACUGACGCUGACAAGCUGCAUGGUAUUUAUGGAUAUGUUUUAUCUCUUUCUUGUUUUUUAAAAGGGGAAUCCAGUCUCUGGAGUGUCAAGUGAGGGUUGUCUUUCAGGGUUAUGUCUUCCAAGCAGCCUCUCUCUGCCAGGCAAGGCCAGUUUACACAGGGAAAAGGCAUAAACUACUUCUGCACUUGACACCAUGCAUCUGUUCUCUGUGGGAACACAUUUGUCAUACCCUCCUAGACCUCUUGUCCUGGCUUUACCUGGAUGGGGAAGGGAAAAACACCACCCUUCAGAUAAACCACCUUGGAGACUACAGGACCACAAAAUAAGAAGGUAGAUGAGAGGAGCCAACUGCGGAUGAAACAGAAGUCAGGAAGGGUGUAGAUAACAUCCUCCAGGCUGGCCCAAGGACAUGGAAGUCCAGCGUUGGCACACAUCGAAAAUCCAGCUGAACAGCAAAGCCAAACUGGAGGCUAGAGACUGUGGACUUGAGGCUUGAGAGAGCAAAAAUGUUGUAGAAAUAAAAGAGAAAAAAACUUUUGCAACCACUAGGACUCCCCUCUGGAGCUACAUCUUAUUGCUAUUGGUAACUGUAAUCACACAAUUUUAAACACAGCAGUAUUAAAAUAGCUUGCCAUACAAAA